AGUCUGGUGCCAGCAGCCGCGGUAAUUCCAGCUCCAAUAGCGUAUAUUAAAGUUGUUGCAGUUAAAAAGCUCGUAGUUGGAUUUCUUUUAUGUGGGUAGGGUUUGGGUUCGUAUGUGUCUUUCAUGGCAUGUAUGGCCUUCCUCUUGCAUGAAACAUUUGUAUAUUUCUCCUAGCAAUAGGAAUCAGGAAUAUACAUCAUUUACUGUGAAAAAAUCAAAGCGUUCAAAGCAGGCUUUAUGCAAUGAAUGUCUCAGCAUGGAAUAAUAAUUUAAGCCAUUGUCUUAUUUUGUUGGUUUACAAGAUGAAGGAAUGUUUAAUAGGAUCAGUCGGGGAUAUCCGAACUUGGAAGUCAGAGGUGAAAUUCUUGGAUUUUCCAAAGUCGAACUACUGCGAAAGCAUUUAUCAAGGAUGUUUUCAUUAAUCAAGAACGAAAGUUUGGGGAUCGAAGAUGAUUAGAUACCAUCGUAGUCUAAACCAUAAACGAUGCCGAUUCGGGAUCGUCUUUUGAUAUAUCAUGUCAAAGGCGGCACCGUACGCGAAAGCAAAAUCUUUGGGUUCUGGGGGGAGUAUGAUCGCAAGGUUGAAACUUAAAGGAAUUGACGGAAGGGCACCAUCAGGCGUGGAGCCUGCGGCUCAAUUUGACCCAACUCGGGAAAACUUAGCAGGGCAGGACAAAAUAAGGAUUGACAGAUUGAGAGCUCUUUCUUGAUUCUUUGGGUGGUGGUGCAUGGCCGUUCUUAGUUGGUGGAGUGAUUUGUCUGGUUAAUUCCGUUAACGAACGAGACCUCAACCUAUUAAAUAGUAGAAGCAUUCUUACGGAUGUGGCAUACUUCUUAGAGGGACUUUUCGCUUUUAGCGGAAGGAAGUUUGAGGCAAUAACAGGUCUGUGAUGCCCUUAGAUGUCCUGCGCCGCACGCGCGCUACAAUGACCAGUUCAAUCGGUACUUCCUUGGUCGAGAGGCCUGGGUAAUCCUAGAACUCUGGUCGUGAUGGGGCUAGAUUAUUGCAAUUAUUAAUCUUCAACGAGGAAUGCCUAGUAAACGCAAGUCAUCAUCUUGCAUUGAAUACAUCCCUGCCCUUUGUACACACCGCCCGUCGCAUCUACCGAUGAAUUUUGCGGUGAAGUCUUGGGAGCCUUUUAAAUUUGCCUUUACGGGUAGGUUUUGAGGGUGAACUUGCAUAAACCUUAACAUUUAGAGGAAGAUGAAGUCGUAACAAGGUUUCCGUAGGUGAACCUGCGGAAG
rnacentral:rRNA from 1 species